CGAUGGAACCCGUCGUAAUUCACCUGAACCACGACGUAACUCCUCUUGUUUUUUUUACGACGACGGUUUUCUCCUGACUGAGCCCACAUUCUCCUCGGAAAAAAAAACCAAAAUCGUGCGUGUGGUUCGGUUGGAAUCGGGGUGGCGUUCCGGCAGCGACUGGCGAGCGGCUGCAGCUGGAAUUGCGGCGAGCCUAGGCGGCGGCCGCGGUUGGGGAACGCGGCUGAGAGGGGCGGCGCGCGAGAGCAGACGCAGUCGGCGGCGGCUGGGAGGAGCAGCUGGGUACCAGCACAUCACCGGCCACCACCCCAAAAUCCUCCGCUGACGGAAACCAGCGUCCUAUCGACGAUGUCUUCCCAGAACUGCAGCGACGACAUGGAGCUUAGAAGAGCUAGAUUAGGGAGGGGUUGUCAUGGCUAGCUGCGGCUCUUGUUGGAGGGUUUCUCGCGCCGUCGCUGCUUGCUGCUACAGCUGCCGGCGCCGCUGGUUGCUGCUAGGUGCCGCUGCGGGCUGCCGCCGUACUCUAAUCUUGCCUCCCGUCGCAGCCACCAGAACCUGUGUGUCUCCUCGUUGCUCGUCCACCAAGGAGGGGAAAAAGGAGAUGGCAGGGAGAUAGCCAGCACCCCUGUUGCAGGUUUGCUCUGUCAGCAGGAGCCUGGGAAGAGGGACAGAAAGACAGAAUUAAAGAAUAGGAUUUUGGAAACCCCAGGUUCACCAUGCUCAUCUCAUCUCUAAAUGAAGUUUCUCACAGAAAAGGUAGUCCUUAAUUAGUCCCUAGAUUAAAUACCUAUUGAAUGUAUUGAAACAACUGGUGUCGUGUUCGUCCCUUGUGGUCUGUGUUUACAUAUUGAAAACUGAUUUGAGAAACUAAUUCGAAAGCUGCUAUAAAUUGGUUAGUCAUAUGAGGGUGGUCACAAAAGGAGAAUUGAGCUACUCAUAACCAUCUUUCUAGCGGAUCUGACAUUGCAUAAUUAUUUCCGUAUUCCUUGAAGAAAAUCAAAUUAAAUGGAAGUGCUUCCCUGUAGGAAACAACCAAGUUGGAAUAGAUGUUACAUAAUUAGCUUAUUGGAAGUGCUUCCCUGUAGCUCUAGAUUAGAAUAAUGUCAGUUAGGCACCUUUACAGGAGGGUUCAUCUCAUAUAUAGAUAUUGUUGGUGUAAAGAAUUAUAGUUGUAAAGAAGUUUUCCAAACCAGCAGGUCACCGCCUUGCUGUGCCAUUUGUUUUAUCUUACCGGCAUUCACAUUGCUGAUUAAAGAAAUCCUUAUGCUAUACUAUUCCUCACGAUUCCUUGACUCUUCUCAGGCACAAUCACCUUCACCUUCUCGGCUUAGUCAACCAAUUGCAGGUAAACAACAUUUUUGGUGCUUUCUGUUUAUUCCAGUAUGAACCGCUGCCUAUCUCAUUUUUUCUUUCUAUCGCUGUUGAAGGGAAUAAUAGUCAGGGAAGUUUGCCUAACCGUACAGCUUUUCCUACAUUCCAGUGGUGUGCUAUCCUCUAUGUUUUUGGAGUCUUUUUUAACCUAGAGAAAAUCCUACUUGGUUCAAAACUGAGUUUCAGAUUGCACACUACUUAGUUCUUUUGUCUGACAAAUAGUUCAGCAGAAGAACUAUCUAAAACACCAUACUGAGCUUGCAAGCAAAAGAAAGAAGUCUAGGUGUGUUUAUCCUUAAUUUUCUUAAUACUUAUAGUUCACUCUGAUGGCUUUAAAUUCACCUUAUUCAAGUAAUUCUCGGUGUAUAUCAAAGCAUAAUCAGGUGAGGUGUGUGCAAGGAGAAAAAGAAAAAUCAGAAUCGACUUCUAUGCUGAAAGAGUAUAUAUGAUUUAUGGUUGCAUGCUUUAAUUGGAAUAGAGAGAUGUUGAUUCUAGCUAAUGCUUGCUUUAUUUGUUAUGUACCAGGCAUAUGACUUGAUUUGUAUUGUAAUAUAUAGUCAGACUUCAUGUCAAUUGUCAACUGAUCUAGAAUAGAAGUGCGAAAUCUACAAUUUUGAAAGAUAACUAGAAGGAUAAGCGCGCCUUGCUGCACCGCUCAAAGCAUUUCUUUCAUCUCUA